AGGACGAACGCUGGCGGCGCGCUUAACACAUGCAAGUCGAGCGGUAAGGCCUUUCGGGGUACACGAGCGGCGAACGGGUGAGUAACACGUGGGUGAUCUGCCCUGCACUUCGGGAUAAGCCUGGGAAACUGGGUCUAAUACCGGAUAUGACCUCCUAUCGCAUGGUGGGUGGUGGAAAGAUUUAUCGGUGCAGGAUGGGCCCGCGGCCUAUCAGCUUGUUGGUGGGGUAAUGGCCUACCAAGGCGACGACGGGUAGCCGACCUGAGAGGGUGACCGGCCACACUGGGACUGAGACACGGCCCAGACUCCUACGGGAGGCAGCAGUGGGGAAUAUUGCACAAUGGGCGAGAGCCUGAUGCAGCGACGCCGCGUGAGGAUGACGGCCUUCGGUUGUAACCGUCUUCAGCAGGACGAAGCGCAAGUGACGGUACCUGCAGAAGAAGACACCGCUAACUACGUGCCAGCAGCCGC
rnacentral:rRNA from 1 species